GGAGAACAAGCAAAGGAACUUUCAAGAUAAGAGAUACACUAUUGGUCAAUAUAUCAUAUGUAAUUGAUAGGAGGUUAAAUUAUUCAAGAAGUUCAUAUAGUUUCAUUCAAUCUUCAAUUAGAUCCUAUAUAUUGUAAGGAUUUGCAAUCAAAUUCAUAU